UACGAAGGGGGCUAGCGUUGUUCGGAAUCACUGGGCUUAAAGGGCGCGUAGGCGGCCGACUAAGUCAGACGUGAAAUCCCCAGGCUUAACCUGGGAACUGCGUCUGAUACUGGAUGGCUCGAGUUCGGGAGAGGGAAGUGGAAUUCCAGGUGUAGCGGUGAAAUGCGUAGAUAUCUGGAGGAACACCGGUGGCGAAGGCGGCUUCCUGGACCGACACUGACGCUGAGGCGCGAAAGCGUGGGGAGCAAACAGG
rnacentral:rRNA from 1 species